UACGUAGGAUCCAAGCGUUAUCCGGAAUUACUGGGCGUAAAGCGUACGUAGGUGGAGACUUAAGUGAGAUGCGAAAUCUAGCGGCUCAACCGUUUAGACUGUGUCUCAUACUGGGUUUCUUGAGGUUGGCAGAGGCAAGUGGAAUUUCCGGUGUAGCAGUGAAAUGCGUAGAUAUCGGAAGGAACACCAAUGGCGAAGGCAGCUUGCUGGGCCACACCUGACACUGAGGUACGAAAGCGUGGGGAGCGAACAGGAUUAGAUACCCUGGUAGUCCACGCCGUAAACGAUGGAUGCUAGUAGUUCGAGGUAUCGACCCCUUGGGCUGCGAAGCUAACGCGUUAAGCAUCCCGCCUGGGGAGUACGAGCGCAAGCUUAAA
rnacentral:rRNA from 1 species